GUGAACUUGUGGAAGGAUCAUUG
rnacentral:rRNA from 7 species